rnacentral:rRNA from 1 species
CCGAUGAGGUGGAAACGGACAGAGCUGGCGUAUCUGGCUUGCAUUCAGCCGCUGCGCGUCGGGCCCCGGUUUGCCGCACUCCAGAUUGGGAAGGUGGCUGGGCUGCUGGCGUGCUGGUGGUGCAUUUGCAGGUGGAGUGCGCCGAGGCGCCCGGUUCAGCGGCAUGAGCUCGGCUUUGAGGCCAGUCGCGCAAGCGGUCUGGUACCCGGGUCGGGGGAGUGUUGUUUGGGCUGGGUGUUCGCUUGGGCACAGGUUUCGGGCCCGUGUAGGUGCCGAGCUGGCGGUCGGCGGCGGUCGCGUGCGACACGUGCCAGCAGUCAGUUCGGUCCUGCUCGAGCUCUCUCGUGUCCGGCCUCGGUGUAAAAGCCGGUCAUCUGUCCGACCCGUCUUGAAACACGGACCAAGGAGUUUAGCGUGUGCGCGAGUCAUUGGGUGUUGAAAACCCAGAGGCGUAAUGAAAGUGAAGGUCUGCCUUGUGCAGCUGAUGUGUGAUCCUGGGCGCCGCGGCGUCAGGGCGCAACAUAGUCCCGUCCCGACUGCAUGCAGUGGGGCGGAGACAGAGCGUACGCGCUGAG